rnacentral:rRNA from 1 species
UGGGGAAUAUUGGACAAUGGGGGGAACCCUGAUCCAGCCAUGCCGCGUGUGUGAAGAAGGCCUUAUGGUUGUAAAGCACUUUAAGCGAGGAGGAGGGUACUGGUAUUAAUACUACCAGGUACUGGACGUUACUCGCAGAAUAAGCACCGGCUAACUCUGUGCCAGCAGCCGCGGUAAUACAGAGGGUGCGAGCGUUAAUCGGAUUUACUGGGCGUAAAGCGUGCGUAGGCGGCUAAUUGAGUCGGAUGUGAAAUCCCCGAGCUUAACUUGGGAAUUGCAUUCGAUACUGGUUAGCUAGAGUGUGGGAGAGGAUGGUAGAAUUCCAGGUGUAGCGGUGAAAUGCGUAGAGAUCUGGAGGAAUACCGAUGGAGAAGGCAGCCAUCUGGCCUAACACUGACGCUGAGGUACGAAAGCAUGGGGAGCAAACAGG